UACGAGGGGGGCGAGCGUUGUUCGGAAUUAUUGGGCGUAAAGGGUGCGUAGGCGGUUCCGCAAGUCCUGUGUGAAAUCUUCGGGCUCAACUCGAAGUCUGCACGGGAAACUGCGGGGCUUGAGUGUGGGAGAGGUGAGUGGAAUUCCCGGUGUAGCGGUGAAAUGCGUAGAUAUUGGGUAGAACACCGGUGGCGAAGGCGGCCAUCUGGGCAGCAACUGACGCUGAGGCGCGAGAGCGUGGGGAGCAAACAGG
rnacentral:rRNA from 1 species